GGUUAAGCGACUAAGCGUACACGGUGGAUGCCCUGGCAGUCAGAGGCGAUGAAGGACGUGCUAAUCUGCGAUAAGCGUCGGUAAGGUGAUAUGAACCGUUAUAACCGGCGAUUUCCGAAUGGGGAAACCCAGUGUGUUUCGACACACUAUCAUUAACUGAAUCCAUAGGUUAAUGAGGCGAACCGGGGGAACUGAAACAUCUAAGUACCCCGAGGAAAAGAAAUCAACCGAGAUUCCCCCAGUAGCGGCGAGCGAACGGGGAGGAGCCCAGAGCCUGAAUCAGUGUGUGUGUUAGUGGAAGCGUCUGGAAAGGCGCGCGAUACAGGGUGACAGCCCCGUACACAAAAAUGCACAUACUGUGAGCUCGAUGAGUAGGGCGGGACACGUGGUAUCCUGUCUGAAUAUGGGGGGACCAUCCUCCAAGGCUAAAUACUCCUGACUGACCGAUAGUGAACCAGUACCGUGAGGGAAAGGCGAAAAGAACCCCGGCGAGGGGAGUGAAAAAGAACCUGAAACCGUGUACGUACAAGCAGUGGGAGCACAGAGCAAUCUGUGUGACUGCGUACCUUUUGUAUAAUGGGUCAGCGACUUAUAUUCUGUAGCAAGGUUAACCGAAUAGGGGAGCCGAAGGGAAACCGAGUCUUAACUGGGCGUUAAGUUGCAGGGUAUAGACCCGAAACCCGGUGAUCUAGCCAUGGGCAGGUUGAAGGUUGGGUAACACUAACUGGAGGACCGAACCGACUAAUGUUGAAAAAUUAGCGGAUGACUUGUGGCUGGGGGUGAAAGGCCAAUCAAACCGGGAGAUAGCUGGUUCUCCCCGAAAGCUAUUUAGGUAGCGCCUCGUGAAUUCAUCUCCGGGGGUAGAGCACUGUUUCGGCAAGGGGGUCAUCCCGACUUACCAACCCGAUGCAAACUGCGAAUACCGGAGAAUGUUAUCACGGGAGACACACGGCGGGUGCUAACGUCCGUCGUGAAGAGGGAAACAACCCAGACCGCCAGCUAAGGUCCCAAAGUCAUGGUUAAGUGGGAAACGAUGUGGGAAGGCCCAGACAGCCAGGAUGUUGGCUUAGAAGCAGCCAUCAUUUAAAGAAAGCGUAAUAGCUCACUGGUCGAGUCGGCCUGCGCGGAAGAUGUAACGGGGCUAAACCAUGCACCGAAGCUGCGGCAGCGACGCUUAUGCGUUGUUGGGUAGGGGAGCGUUCUGUAAGCCUGCGAAGGUGUGCUGUGAGGCAUGCUGGAGGUAUCAGAAGUGCGAAUGCUGACAUAAGUAACGAUAAAGCGGGUGAAAAGCCCGCUCGCCGGAAGACCAAGGGUUCCUGUCCAACGUUAAUCGGGGCAGGGUGAGUCGACCCCUAAGGCGAGGCCGAAAGGCGUAGUCGAUGGGAAACAGGUUAAUAUUCCUGUACUUGGUGUUACUGCGAAGGGGGGACGGAGAAGGCUAUGUUGGCCGGGCGACGGUUGUCCCGGUUUAAGCGUGUAGGCUGGUUUUCCAGGCAAAUCCGGAAAAUCAAGGCUGAGGCGUGAUGACGAGGCACUACGGUGCUGAAGCAACAAAUGCCCUGCUUCCAGGAAAAGCCUCUAAGCAUCAGGUAACAUCAAAUCGUACCCCAAACCGACACAGGUGGUCAGGUAGAGAAUACCAAGGCGCUUGAGAGAACUCGGGUGAAGGAACUAGGCAAAAUGGUGCCGUAACUUCGGGAGAAGGCACGCUGAUAUGUAGGUGAAGCGACUUGCUCGUGGAGCUGAAAUCAGUCGAAGAUACCAGCUGGCUGCAACUGUUUAUUAAAAACACAGCACUGUGCAAACACGAAAGUGGACGUAUACGGUGUGACGCCUGCCCGGUGCCGGAAGGUUAAUUGAUGGGGUCAGCGCAAGCGAAGCUCUUGAUCGAAGCCCCGGUAAACGGCGGCCGUAACUAUAACGGUCCUAAGGUAGCGAAAUUCCUUGUCGGGUAAGUUCCGACCUGCACGAAUGGCGUAAUGAUGGCCAGGCUGUCUCCACCCGAGACUCAGUGAAAUUGAACUCGCUGUGAAGAUGCAGUGUACCCGCGGCAAGACGGAAAGACCCCGUGAACCUUUACUAUAGCUUGACACUGAACAUUGAGCCUUGAUGUGUAGGAUAGGUGGGAGGCUUAGAAGUGUGGACGCCAGUCUGCAUGGAGCCGACCUUGAAAUACCACCCUUUAAUGUUUGAUGUUCUAACGUUGACCCGUAAUCCGGGUUGCGGACAGUGUCUGGUGGGUAGUUUGACUGGGGCGGUCUCCUCCUAAAGAGUAACGGAGGAGCACGAAGGUUGGCUAAUCCUGGUCGGACAUCAGGAGGUUAGUGCAAUGGCAUAAGCCAGCUUGACUGCGAGCGUGACGGCGCGAGCAGGUGCGAAAGCAGGUCAUAGUGAUCCGGUGGUUCUGAAUGGAAGGGCCAUCGCUCAACGGAUAAAAGGUACUCCGGGGAUAACAGGCUGAUACCGCCCAAGAGUUCAUAUCGACGGCGGUGUUUGGCACCUCGAUGUCGGCUCAUCACAUCCUGGGGCUGAAGUAGGUCCCAAGGGUAUGGCUGUUCGCCAUUUAAAGUGGUACGCGAGCUGGGUUUAGAACGUCGUGAGACAGUUCGGUCCCUAUCUGCCGUGGGCGCUGGAGAACUGAGGGGGGCUGCUCCUAGUACGAGAGGACCGGAGUGGACGCAUCACUGGUGUUCGGGUUGUCAUGCCAAUGGCACUGCCCGGUAGCUAAAUGCGGAAGAGAUAAGUGCUGAAAGCAUCUAAGCACGAAACUUGCCCCGAGAUGAGUUCUCCCUGACUCCUUGAGAGUCCUGAAGGAACGUUGAAGACGACGACGUUGAUAGGCCGGGUGUGUAAGCGCAGCGAUGCGUUGAGCUAACCGGUACUAAUGAACCGUGAGGCUUAACCUU
rnacentral:rRNA from 1 species